UCACUUCCUUUGAAACUCUUUUUUGCAAGUGUUCUUCUUGCACUUCCACUUCAGAUGUCCUAAGCAAAAAACUGGAUCUUAGAGGGUUCUGAACUUGAUAAUCUUCAGCUAUUACCGUGAUCAGAAGCAAAGAUUAUAUCGUUGGGGGUUGUUCACCUUCUCACUCCAAGGCUUCAGAUCGGAGUUUCAGGUUUAAGCAUUCUACAAUCAAGAGAUUCAAGUUUAGGUUUACAACAAUGGAAGAAACAAGAACUGAGCCGUAUUCUAAUGGGGAAGAUAGAAUCAGUAGGUUGCCAGAUGGACUAAUUCACUACAUUUUGUCUUUCCUUGAUACCAAGUAUGCAGUUCAAAGUAGUGUUUUGUCCAAAAGGUGGAUUCAUACUUGGAAAUCUCCACCGUUCUCAACUUUGACAGGACAGCAUUUCCUGAAGACGAAGAAUACGAUGAGAGGUUCGUAUAUUUUGUGGACUUGGUAUUCAUUUUUCACGAUGACUCUGAUAUUCAUAGAUUUAGUCUUUGUUGGCACAGUUUUAGAUAUGAUGAUAUAAUGAAAAGACAUGUUAGUAGAUGGAUGGCUCAUGCUGUUAAGCAUAAUGUUCAAGAAAUGACGAUAUACAACACAGAUCGUCAUUUGGGUUAUGAAAUCCCUCAUCAACUCCUAAAUUGCAAAUCACUGACCAAGUUGGAUAUGCAAAUGUAUCGCGUUCUCGAAUAUGUAGAUACUACUUUACCAAAAUCAAUGUGUUUACCUCGGCUAAAAUUUCUGUGGCUUGGUGGAUUUUCAAUCGCUAAUGUAGAACUAUCUAAAAGGCUCUUUUCAAGUUGUCCAGCUCUUGAAACGUUGGUCAUAGCUAAUUCUGAUAUACAAACUGAUGAUCAAAGGAAUUUGAUUGUGGAUUCUCUCAGCCUCAAGAAGUUCAACUAUUUUAAUCACUAUGUACAUCUUUUGCCGCAUAAUAAUACUAUGCCUACCACUAUCAAGUUACGUGCUCCAAAUAUUGGUAUCUAGAAAACUGUUCUCCAAUAUCCAGGGUAGAUUUUGACGUAAUUCUCAAAGCAAUGGAAGAUGAGAGUGCAGAAGCAUAUUUAAAACUGCCUUCAGAGGAAAAAGAUGUGUAUGCUAAAUGCAUGAUGAAAUAUCUAGGAGCAGUUUAUAUGGUGGAGAAAAUGAGAUUAUCAGCUGGAUUCCUUGAGGUUCUCUCACAAGCUCUUGACAUAUCAGAAUGUUAACCCCCUCGAUUAUGUAAUCUCCAAAGUUUGGGACUACAUAUGUGGUUUACAAGAGGUUGCUCGCGUUCAAUGGCAUACUUACUCAAUAUAUCUCCUAAAAUAAAUUCUAUAUUUCUUACAGCAAAGGAGUCGAACUUAGCGGUCAUUGGAGAUGAUUGGGAAGCAGGAUUGUCAUCGCCAGGAAUGUUGUCUCACCUCGAGUAUGUCAGUAUUGAAAAAGUGGAAGGAUGCGAUGCUGAGCUCAAACUUUUGAGCUUUUUGCUGAAAAUGCAAAGGUUUUGAAGAAACUGGUGUUGUAUCCUCGUUCUGCUAUUGACUCGCCUGAUAGUGUGCGAAAGCAAUUUAAGAGUCGGCUAAGAGCACUUCCAAGAGCUUCGCCACACAUCAUUAUGCAUUGGCCGGCAACAAAAAGUA